rnacentral:rRNA from 1 species
UAGAGGAAGUAAAAGUCGUAACAAGGUUUCCGUAGGUGAACCUGCGGAAGGAUCAUUAUUGAAUGAACUUGGUAUGGGUUGUUGCUGGUCUUUUCGAAGGCAUGUGCACGCCCAUAUCAUCUUUAUAUCUCCACCUGUGCACCUUUUGUAGACUUGAGAGAGUAUUGGCCGUCAAAACGUCAGUAAUCUUGAAGCCUAUGUUUUUCAUAUACACCAUACGAAUGUAACAGAAUGUCAAUGGGACUGUAUAGUCCUAUAAAUUAUAUACAACUUUCAGCAACGGAUCUCUUGGCUCUCGCAUCGAUGAAGAACGCAGCGAAAUGCGAUAAGUAAUGUGAAUUGCAGAAUUCAGUGAAUCAUCGAAUCUUUGAACGCACCUUGCGCUCCUUGGUAUUCCGAGGAGCAUGCCUGUUUGAGUGUCAUUAAAUUCUCAACCUUUAUCUUGACUGAUAAAUGGCUUGGACUUGGAGGUUUGCCGGCGAAAGUCAGCUCCUCUUAAAAGUAUUAGCUGGUUGCCUUGUGUAAACUUGUCUAUUGGUGUGAUAAUUAUCUACGCCGUGGGCUGUUUACAAGCACUGCUUCUAACCGUCUUUUGACAAUCUUAUGACAAUUUGACCUCAAAUCAGGUAGGACUACCCGCUGAACUUAAGCAUAUCAAUA